UGCCCGAGCUUGCCGCGCGCCGCCCCAGUCCACGCCGCGCCCGCCCCGUCCCAUCUCGUUCCCGCCGGGCGCCACAGUUCCCGGGUCAGCGUCCCCUCGGCUCCAGCCGGGAGGUGCAGAGGGCAGAGCCCGAGGGUGGGCUAGUGCCUGGCUCGGGAGACCCGGAGAGUCGCGGCAAGCGACGCCGAGCCUCGCCCCCGGCCGGCUCCCGGACGCCCUGGGCGCGGGGCGCUAAGGGCGCGGGGCGCGGGGCAGCGGGCGCGGGGCGGCGCCGGCCCCGGGCGGCUCUCCCACUAGGGGUAGCUGUUGCUGAACGCGGGAGCGCUCCCCUCUCGGUGCUUGCCUCGCCCGGCGCAGCCCUGGCCGCCGGGCGCACCCGUCCCGUUCGUCCCCGGACGUUGCUCUCUGCCCCGGGAACGUCGAGACUGGAGCGCCCGAACUGAGCCACCUUCGCGAACCCGGAGCGCGGCGGCCCGACUCACCGCGGAGGCGCCCGGACGCGUAAAGUGCGUACUUUCAACUAGGAACGUGUGCAGAGGCUUUUUAGGGGUGCGGGGUAACUCCCAACAACGUGGGGUUCUGGCAGGCCCCGCCGCGGCGGCGGAGACCUCCUAAUCUGUCUCUGCGCGCAGCGCACUGCUGGUGACUUUGGGUUCAGGGGCGGCGGGGCGGGGAGGUACCUUGACCUGGGGUCCCCGAGACUCUGAUCAAGUUCCGCUUCGCUACAUCUCACAGUGACCCCCCUCCCCAGGGCAGGGUUUCAACCCCAAAGCUCCCGGGAGCCGCACGGCCUAGAACACCCCAGUAAUCGCAGGGGCUUUUCUGGGUGACGGGACCCCAGCCGGGUACCGCAGCUCCAGCCGCUCGUGUCCCGUGCGCUGCCCUCCCAGCAGAGACCAGCUGCCUAACUUUUCCGCCGGAGACCGCUCUGGCGUCCCGGGCGGGCGGGUGGGCGCCGGCAGAUCGCUUUCCACUAGCCAAGGAACUUGUCGGGAGAAGUCGACCGUCCGCAGGGCAAGUGGCCCAGAGGGAGGGGGCACAGGUAGGCGCCCGCCCUCGCCACUGCGUUUCAGCGGUCUCUGCCAGGGGUUCCUUUGGCGGGACCUGUGGCUGCAGCCGCUGGAGCCCUGAGUGUACCUUGCUUGGAGAACAGAGUAGCUUGUGAAUGGGGCUUUCCUUUUCCCUCUGGGUCAGAGGAUUUCUCUGCUCUGUGGGACGGGAUGUACACCCAACACUUCCCACCUGAGGGAAGUGGACUCCUACUGUUCCUAGCAGCCAUGUUAGGGUCUUUCAAGUGGACUAGGGAACUUUCCCUGAACAUACCUGACUGGGGGUCCCACUCAUAUGGUUCUAUCCCGAAGCAGGGCUUCUCUGAGUUUGCAGACCUCCACCCCCUUCUCUUUUGGACUGGGGUGAUAGAAAAGAGACAUGCUGAAGAGUCUGAGAGGCAGAUUGGGGGCUUCUGAGACCCUGUCUUGGGUAAGGCAAGAGAUAAUUCUCCUCAGCCCAAGAUUCCCUCAUCUCUGGGAGAUACCAUUCUAGGGCGGGGGUCCUGUUCCUUCACUCAAGGACUUGGGACAGGGAUAUGAGGCAGGUCCUCCCCUUCCCACAUUCAGUUUCUGAAAAGGCCACCUGGGAUAUGUUCAUAUGUGUCUGGAUGCACAUGCCAUGUGGCAGUCAUAGUCUGGGACAGACAUAAGUCCAGCCCUGCUGGUCCUGCCCUGUGGGACCAGUCACAUCUGAUCAUCACUCCUUCCUGAUGUGGGACAUCUGAGAAAGAAGCUGUCAGCCUCGCUGGGCAGCUGCUGGUGUGUGGGGGACAGGCUAUACCCCACACCUCAGGACUCCAGAGCACUGGAUGAAGUACCCAUUGACUCCUAUGGCCUCCUGUACAGGCUGUCAGGAGACUCCAUGGAGCUUGGUGGGUAGUGCCGUGGUUUACACUCUCCCAGCAGGGGUACCUCCUAGGCGCUCAGAAAAGAUAGUUCAGCUCCUACACUUAGAAGAGUGCUGGAGAACGACAGUCCAGUGACCUGGGGGAGCCCAGUCUUCCUGCCUGGACUGUCCUCAAAGGAGCACAUGCCCUCUACCUGGCCUGUUCUUCCUCAGUGGCCAGCAGCCUACUACGAAGCAGAUGAAGUUCUGUGUCUGCCUGGCAGACUUGCCCCUCCCAGGCUGGCUCAGCUGGGAUCCUCUGGAGUGACUGCUGAGAGGUGCCCAAUAAAGCUUUGCACCAUGA